AGAGUUUGAUCAUGGCUCAGAUUGAACGCUGGCGGCAUGCCUUACACAUGCAAGUCGAACGGCAGCACGGACUUCGGUCUGGUGGCGAGUGGCGAACGGGUGAGUAAAAUAUCGGAACAUACCCCAGAGUGGGGGAUAACGUAGCGAAAGUUACGCUAAUACCGCAUACGCACUAAGGUGGAAAGCGGGGGAUCGCAAGACCUCGUGCUCCUGGAGUGGCCGAUAUCUGAUUAGCUAGUUGGUAGGGUAAAAGCCUACCAAGGCGACGAUCAGUAGCUGGUUUGAGAGAACGACCAGCCACACUGGAACUGAGACACGGUCCAGACUCCUACGGGAGGCAGCAGUGGGGAAUUUUGGACAAUGGGCGCAAGCCUGAUCCAGCAAUGCCGCGUGAGUGAAGAAGGCCCUCGGGUUGUAAAGCUCUUUUGUCAGGGAAGAAACGGUGCUCUCUAAUAUAGAGUGCUAAUGACGGUACCUGAAGAAUAAGCACCGGCUAACUACGUGCCAGCAGCCGCGGUAAUACGUAGGGUGCAAGCGUUAAUCGGAAUUACUGGGCGUAAAGCGUGCGCAGGCGGUUUUGUAAGUCUGAUGUGAAAUCCCCGGGCUCAACCUGGGAACUGCAUUGGAGACUGCAAGGCUAGAGUGUGUCAGAGGGGGGUAGAAUUCCACGUGUAGCAGUGAAAUGCGUAGAUAUGUGGAGGAAUACCGAUGGCGAAGGCAGCCCCCUGGGAUAACACUGACGCUCAUGCACGAAAGC
rnacentral:rRNA from 1 species